rnacentral:rRNA from 1 species
UACAGAGGGUGCGAACGUUGCUCGGAAUUACUGGGCGUAAAGGGCGCGUAGGCGGUCAGCACAAGUCAGUUGUGAAAUCUCCGAGCUUAACUCGGAAAGGUCAACUGAUACUGUGCGACUAGAGUGCAGAAGGGGCAACUGGAAUUCUCGGUGUAGCGGUGAAAUGCGUAGAUAUCGAGAGGAACACCUGCGGCGAAGGCGGGUUGCUGGGCUGACACUGACGCUGAGGCGCGAAAGCUAGGGGAGCGAACGGG